UAGCGAAUGACUAAAGUUUAGACUAAAGUCUAAAUAGAUCUUUAGAAUCUAGACUCAAAAUCUAUCCAGAUCUAGAUCUAGUAGUGUAUUGCAACUUGUGUAUUGUUGGUACUUGGUUGGGUGAACAGCUAAUAAAGUGUGUAAAGUUGGUGGUCAGCGUAAGAGUGAUGCCCUACAGAAACACUUAUUAUUAUAUAUUUAAUAUUAGAUGUAGGUCUAUAUAAUUAUAUACUUAUAGUUAUAGACAUAGUACUCAGUUAACUCAGACUUCAGAGUCAGACUAUAGACGAUAGUGUCGAUAGUAAUAGACUAGGUUACACUAGGUAGGAGCAUAGGCUAGGUUAGUAGUACUAUAUUAUACUAAUAUAUAGAAUCUAGUAUUAGUAAAUACUAUAAUUAAAGACCAGCUUAGGCGCCAACUGAGUUUACUCAGACUCAGGGCAAUUGGCUUUCUUUAACACUUUAAGUAACUUUAAAAUCAGUUUAACUGAGUCUCAGUUAACUGACUCAGUGACUGGCAUAAAUAAAAAUCAUUUAAAAAUGGAAUUGCCCUCUAUUGGCUCUAGCCUACUACUCACUCAAGUGAGUACCAGCCGCUGCAGACUAGAUUUUAGUGAGCACUAAUAGAUCUACUAGAAUCUAGAUAUAAUCUAGAUUAGAGGUAAUUUCCUAGAUUAGUUGAUUAGUUAAAAUAAGUCUAAAUAAUUUACUAAGUAACUAUAUAGAUCUUACUAGCCGGAAUCAGCCAGAAAAGCCAAUGUCAACGACUUUAACCCACCUUUAUUUUUACUUCAGUUCAAUUUAAAAUGCUGGCAAAGAAACAAAGUGGUUCCCCUUCUUUAGAGAUCUACAAAUGCACAAUACCAGUCGCACAUGUUUCACAGGUCACCAGUGUUAUGGGGUGUGUGUGUUUCUAUGGUAAUGGUGGUAAGAGAUAAUGCUCUGUCAUGGACUUGAAAGGACCUAAUGAGAAAAGAGAUAAGCUACAUCACUUGAAGAGACCCUAAGAAACUGGUCAACAGAUAACUUGUGAUCUCCUUAAAGUUAAACAUAAUACAGGCAUGUUUGAGUUUCUUCUCAGUGUUGUGUUGUUUGAACUGCAGAUCACAAAGCAUUUGAUUUCAUUACAUUUGGUUUUUAAGACUAUAAUGUUCAUUACUGAUUUUAUAAAAACAUGGAAUCUAUUUGGGUGGCUAAAUCAGCUGAUGUAAUGUCUUCCUGGCUGAGCAAGUACAACUGUUUUGUGUAGACCUAUUGAUUUCCAUUAGCUGUCUUUCUUACAAAGAAAAGAGUCAUCUAUAUAUUAUGCAGCAGCAAUCAGUAGCAUCAAUAUGUUGCACUUCUUUACCCAGGAUCAUUCAGGUGCCUGCACUUCAAUUGACAGAUUAACUGUGAUACUUAUUGCUUGACAACUGCACUAUGUAUGCCAUGAGAGCAACCUUUAGAAGAUUUAGCCGCUAAAUGGAUUCCAGAUGAGGUAAGCUGCCACUUAAAGAAAAACAGAAAAGAAAACUUAUCAUAGAGUCCAAAUGGAAGAAAAUGUAACAAACUUCUUAAUUAAAGAUUAAACAUGUAAUUAUUUGUAUUUCUAACAAUUACCUGAAGAGCCAGUUUAAGUGUUUAUUAGCUAAGAUUAAUUGAAUUAUAAAAUAACCAAUGAGGAAGUGCUACGAAGAGCAGAGUACUUUUACUAGUCUUCCGAAUGGUGGCUGACCAAUCUUAUCUUUGCUGACCCAGUUUGUACACCAGAUGACUGUGCAGACCCCACCAACCAUUUGAGCAUUCAGAGGCAGGUAAAUAGGGUGAACUUACUCCAGUUGGCAGGGAGUACCACAUGGAGGUCGGCAGGCACUGUCCCUUGAUUGCUAGGAAAUUUGUCUUAGCUGCUUAAUCCCAUUGUUACUAUGUUAAAAAAAAUAUGAUUUAUUAAAUCUUACUCAUUUCAUUUAUAUUUUUUACCUUACAUUUACCUUUACCUAUAAGCAUGAAAGUAGCGCUAUAUAAAAGCCAUAAUUUAUUUUAGUCUGAUGGACUGUUGGGGUAACAUGCAAGAUUUGUCAACCAUCUUUCUCCAUUCCUCUCUGUCUUUUGCCUUAGUUAGAACCUCUUUAAUAUUUUACUUCGGAAAAAAAAAUAGUGUCAAGAAUAUACCAUCUUCUAUUGAACAUGUUUUUUUAAUUCAUAUUUUCAUUUGGGAAAAGUCAAAAUAAUGUUAAGAAUGUACCAUCAUCUAAUUGCCUUAUAUUUCUAUUAACAAUUUUUUUUUUCUUUCAUAAAUGUUCUAGCACAAGUUUUCAACUAGCUACAUUAUUGUCAAGCAGUGUCUUGGGGUGAAAACACCAGCUGGUUCAGGGGUAUAAGGUUUAAAAAAAUAUUGAGGCUCUGGGGUGUGGUUAUUUAACUGGGUUAUGUAAUGCAUUUAAAAUAUCUUUAUAAAUAUAUAAUAAUUCUGUCAAAGUAUAAUUUUUUAAAUUCUUUUUUUUAUUUUAUCCUGAUCAUCAUCAAAAGAAAAUCACUGAUAAAAGAAAAAUUAUAAUUCACAUCAAUAAUUGUCUGAAGCGGAGCACCUUUAAAAAAAAAUGAUGCUGCCUCGCAUGAUUGUAGAACUUUGUCUUGAAUUUCAGCUUAUGAAACAGAAACAGGCACGACAUGGCCUAAAUUGUGCCGAUGUGCCUCAAAUCAACAAAUCAAAUCAAAUCAUGAAACAGAAGCGCUUUCCCUGAAGGCAGCUACAAUAGAGGCUGAAAUGAGGAAAAUGGAAAUAUGGCUGACAACAUGACAUGGCCCCUUACCAUCAUGGAAGAUUUCAAAAUCUUAGAUAGCAGAUCGUAUGAGGCUGAGGAUAAAUCUAAUGACUGAUCUCACUGAAGGAUUAUAUAAUUCUAAGAUGAUGAAUAAUCAAGCAAUCAGUGGUUGCAAUGGGAUAUUGAUGGCUAUCUAUCAAUGAAAUAAUUAUUGGUUCGAAACACAUCAUCUUCAGCAGGCAAUCUAGACUAGACUAGACUUCUUAAUUUUUUUUUUUUUUUGGUUUGUUUUGCAUGUCUGAAAUGUUUCUCCAGAGUUAAAGAUUAGUACAUCCUACUCACAACUUUCUGCAGGAGGGCAGGACUCAAACCUAGGAUCAUUAAGACAAGUGUCCAGGGCACAUACCAGACUACCAGGCAACAAUAACUUUGUAUACACAUAUUUACAAUCAGCAUUUUAGUAAGCCACAUAUUGUCUAUCAAUUUAAAAGAAAUGAAAAAGUAAACACUGUACAUCAUAGCUUUUAGUGAAUUUUUCUGAAUGCUUUUUUAAUCCAGUAAUGAGAUAGGAACUUUAAGAACAUGUCAUCAGCGAGUGAAUGGUUGUGUUCAAUGUGCCUUAAAGACUAUUUGAAUUUUCAUGUACAUGUAUGUUAUAUUUGCAUGUCAAAAUAUGUAGAUGAUAUUUUUCUAUUGCAACACAAAGUUUAUAUAGUACCAAGUAAAAUUGUUGUUUUGGUGAUAUAUUAAUGAUUGUCAAAUUAUUAUAUAUUAAUUUCUUAAAUACCACUGACUGACACAUUCAUUGAUCAUGAGAUUUCUUAAUCCAUUAGCUCCUUCUGCUGUCAGUAAUGUUUUCUCGUUUUUGUCCUAAACCAUUGAAAAAUGUUUCUAAAACCCCCUUUUAAAUAUGCUAGCUUUAUCUUUUUACAGGGUUAGUAGCACUUUUCCAUGACAAAAUUUUAGUUUUUUUAAGGAUGAAAUGUAUGAUGUGUGUGUGUGUUUCCAAUCCGUUUGUGUGAUACAUAGUAAAACAUACACAAAACUAAGCAUUUAUCAAAUCAAUUACUGUUGUUUGAUUUUAAAAAUAAUAAAUAUCUUGCCAAUAUGCCACAGAAACAAUGUUAUCAGCUGUGGUAUGUCUACAGAAAAUGUAAUGAAAGUUAUCUUUUAAUAAAGUAAAAACUUAACUGUCAUCCCAAAACCUCAAACAACCAUUUUAAAUAAAAGAUUUCUUCUCCUUGCAGGAGUGAUUACACAUCAUUGUGGAGAUUACUAAUUCUAUUUUUAGUAAAAUCAGGAAGAUUUUUAUUUAUUAAAUAAUUUUUCAAAUGAACAGGCCCAUAGACCCAGUGUAUAAGCCCCCAGCUGGUAAAAUGAGUAUUUUCAAACCUUUUAUUUUUUUUAUUCUUAAGGUAUUAAUAGUAUAUAUUUUUUUAGUUAGACAUAUCCUUCUAUUUUUAAAGUUGUUAUAUAUUAGAAUUAGAUCUUCAAAAUAUUUUCAAAAUAAUUAUUUCUUGAUAUUUUUUUUAUUCAGUUACCCCUCUUUGCUUAGCGCAUGGGGAGCAUUUUUCCUAACCAGAAAUUGGGCAAAACUGUUGUACGUAUCUGCAUCAAAUUUGGUACACAGGAUCCUUUAGCGUCCUAGGUGCUCACUAAGAAUGUUUUUUUUACAUAUUCAUAACCUGACGACCGCUGUCCGCAAAAAAAUACAAGCUUCCUAUCAAACCUUUGUAUUUUAUAUUCGGUAUUUCCUCAAAAGGUCACAGUCUAUAAAUAAAACAUUUUUUUAAAUGUCACAAUUCUGUAUUUUUCAAGCAAUAAUUUUCUUUUUCCAUAAGUCUACUUCCUUUUAGAAGCAGUCUAAGUAAAAAAACAAAACCAAUCCUAAUAACAUUAAUGAGAUAGAUAUAGAGCAGUGGUUCUCAACCUUUUAAGCUCCGAGACCCUCUAAUACAAUUUUCAACUAGGUGGCAACCACCAACCAUUUUUUUUUGGUUCUAGGCCUAAUUAAAUGUAAUUUAGCUAAUAAUAUAAAAUCUUAUCAAAAUGUAUAUAUCAGAUAUCCAUGAUAGCAAUUCCAUUAUUAGAAAAUGAACAUAAAAGCUUUAUUUAGUUAAAAAUAAAUUUGUGCUUUAAUUUUUAAAAAGUGUAUCUUUUAUGACUUUCAUUUAUUUAUUUUUCUAUUACCUGUUUAUAAAUAUUCAUAACUAGUAUUGCUAAGCAUGGAGAAUAUUUAGUUUUUGUAGAGAAUGUGUAGUUUUUGACACAGUAAACUACAAAAUUGAUGCAACAGUAUUUUCAAAUAUGCCAAAGUUAGUGCGAAGGUUGAGCUUGUUUUAUUUCGUUAGAUUAGGAAUUUUAUAUUUUCUGCAUCUUGUUUAUUUCUGUAUUAGACUUUAUAUUUGACAGGCAGAAAAAACAUGUUUCACAGAGAUUAGUCAUUAGAAUUGGAACUUAACCCUGCCUGCCUUCAGGCGCUCAGUAAACACAACUCUGCCCAAGUUGGGCGUCGAACCCCCUUCAUGGGUAGCUAAAAAAAGCUAACUAAAAAAAUAUAUACUUUUAAUACCUUCAUAGGUAGCGUACUUAGCCUCUCGACCAUGCUUCCCAUGAAUUAUUAUUCAAUGGGGUAUUAUUAAUUAAAUUUGCCUUAUAACUUGAAAUGUUUGUGUCCUGCAAUGGUGUCUCAACACAUUUAAUGGACAGCAAUAUCAAUUGU